UACGUAGGGUGCAAGCGGUAAUCGGAAUUACUGGGCGUGAAGCGUGCGCAGGCGGUUUUGUAAGUCUGACGUGAAAUCCCCGGGCUCAACCUGGGAAUUGCGUUGGAGACUGCAAGGCUAGAAUCUGGCAGAGGGGGGUAGAAUUCCACGUGUAGCAGUGAAAUGCGUAGAGAUGUGGAGGAACACCGAUGGCGAAGGCAGCCCCCUGGGUCAAGAUUGACGCUCAUGCACGAAAGCGUGGGGAGCAAACAGG
rnacentral:rRNA from 1 species